GUUUGAUCCUGGCUCAGGAUGAACGCUAGCGGUGCGCCUAACACAUGUAAGUCGUGCGAUCGAGCCGAACUGAGUUCCUUCGGGAACGAUGAUUGGUGACGGAGCGGCGGACGGGUGAGUAACACGUGGCUAACCUACCUUCUUGACGGGGACAACCACCCGAAAGGGCGGCUAAUACCCGAUGUUGUCUGGAACCAAUGGGUUCCUUUCCAAAGGCGGUCCUGCCGCCGCAAGAGGAUGGGGCUGCGCCCUAUUAGCUAGUUGGUGAGGUAACGGCUCACCAAGGCUGCGAUGGGUAGCUGGUCUGAGAGGACGACCAGCCACAUUGGGACUGAGAUACGGCCCAGACUCCUACGGGAGGCAGCAGUGGGGAAUCUUGGCCAAUGGACGAAAGUCUGAGCCAGCGACACCGCGUGGGGGAUGAAGGCCUUCGGGUCGUAAACCUCUUUUCUGGGGAAAGAAUAAGGACGGGAGGAAAUGCCCGCCCGAUGACGGUACUCCAGGAAUAAGUAUCGGCUAACUCUGUGCCAGCAGCCGCGGUAAGACAGAGGAUGCGAGCGUUAUCCGGAAUUACUGGGCGUAAAGGGCGUCUAGGCGGUUCGGUAAGUCGUUUGUGAAAUCCCUCGGCUCAACCGAGGAUGGUCUUGCGAUACUGCCGGGCUUGGGUGCAGGAGAGGAGAGUGGAACUCACAGAGUAGCGGUGGAAUGCGUAGAUACUGUGAGGUACCCCGAUGGCGAAGGCAACUCUCUGGCCUGCUACCGACGCUGAAGCGCGAAAGCGUGGGGAGCAAAGGGGAUUAGAUACCCCCGUAGUCCACGCCCUAAACAAUGUUCACUUGGUGUCGGCCGCUUAUACUGGUCGGUGCCGAAGCUAACGCGU
rnacentral:rRNA from 1 species